CCUACGGGAGGCUGCAGUAGGGAAUAUUGCUCAAUGGGGGAAACCCUGAAGCAGCAACGCCGCGUGGAGGAUGACGGUUUUCGGAUUGUAAACUCCUUUUGUUAGAGAAGAUAAUGACGGUAUCUAACGAAUAAGCACCGGCUAAAUCCGUGCCAGCAGCCGCGGGAAUACGGCGGGUGCAAGCGUUACUCGGAAUCACUGGGCGUAAAGAGCGCGUAGGCGGGGUAGCAAGUCAGAUGUGAAAUCCUAUGGCUUAACCAUAGAACUGCAUUUGAAACUGUUAUUCUAGAGUAUAGGAGAGGUAGGUGGAAUUCUUGGUGUAGCGGUAAAAUCCGUAGAGAGCAAGAGGAAUACUCAUUGCGAAGGCGACCUGCUAGAACAUAACUGACGCUGAUGCGCGAAAGCGUGGGGAGCAAACAGGAUUAGAUACCCCGGUAGUC
rnacentral:rRNA from 1 species